CCAUGGCUUGUUACCUCCCCAGCCCCCACACCACCCGGGGGAUGCAAACGUGAAAAGAUGCUUCUAUCGCUUUUCCUGAAAGCAAGGAAGGAUCGAAAAGGGGGAAAGGAUAUUUGACUUAUUUUCACUGUGUGUUGGUUUUUACUGCCUAGAACAAAAGAGGCUCCCAAAGGCAGGCUGUAUCCUGACAGGUCGGUCUGUGCUCUUGUUAUUUUAUUCCGCGGGAGGAAGCGCCCAGCUCGGGACCACGGAGCUGUGAAUGAAUCUAAGCAGGGCAAGUGUAGAAUGCUUUACAGGCCCUAGCCGGUGCCUAGGACACUAGGGAGAUAGAACCCUACACCCACAGCAGCACGGCACCUUCACAAAGGAUGGAGUGACAACUCAUACACGUUCCCUUCAAUGGAGUCUGCUCUGUUGGGGAAAGGGAGGGCCGGUCAGCCCCACCCCCGCCCCGCUUUAUUCUUGCUUGGGGAUGUUUAUCCUGCUCUGUUCUCAUUGUCCAUGUUUCCUGACGUGUUGCCCUUGACUUGGAAUAAACAGACGUCUCUGAAAGACCUGUCUCUGAAUUUUUGAAAUACGAUCGCAUGAUAGUACAACACAUCUGAAGACGGUCAAGUUCCCAAAUGCCCCUGCCCUCAGGGGCUGUGGUGCUCAUUCUGGGUAGUCCAGUGUGGAGAAAGACCAGCUGUUUUGUUGUGUAAACAUCUCCAGUGAUUCAUCUGGGAUGGGAAGGAAGAUCGCUUUCAACUGAGAAACUGCGGUGGAUACUGUGGGCCUAUUGAAAAUAAAAGGAACCCUCCACCCUCCGAGAGACCCGGCAAGCAUCUGAAAGAGUCAGAAGCAGAUACUAGCACCCAACCAAUGGAGAGAAGCCGGGGGGAAGGAAGGCCCCGUGAAAGACCAGAAGUUUCAACUGACCUUGACCCCUGAGAUCUCUCAGACACGGAGUCACCAACCAGGCAGCAUACACUAGCUGAUGUGAGACGCACCCCCCCACACCCUCACACCCUCCCACACCCCCACAUCCCCACACCCCCACACACAUAUACAGCAGACGACUGCCUGGUCUGACUUAAGUGAGAGAAAAUAUACCUAACCCUCAAUUCACUUGAGGCCUCAGGGAGUAGGGAG
ensembl:lncRNA